rnacentral:rRNA from 1 species
UACGAAGGGGGCUAGCGUUGCUCGGAAUCACUGGGCGUAAAGGGUGCGUAGGCGGGUCUUUAAGUCAGGGGUGAAAUCCUGGAGCUCAACUUCAGAACUGCCUUUGAUACUGAGGAUCUUGAGUACGGGAGAGGUGAGUGGAACUGCGAGUGUAGAGGUGAAAUUCGUAGAUAUUCGCAAGAACACCAGUGGCGAAGGCGGCUCACUGGCCCGUUACUGACGCUGAGGCACGAAAGCGUGGGGAGCAAACAGG